GAAACAUGUAAACGAUGUUAGGACACAAUAAAUUCUUACUCUUUAGUUACCACAUUGCAUUUAUUACCAAUGCAAGUAACAGAUUUUAAGUCAAAAAUCAUGUAUAGGGACAAGACAUCAUCAACCAAAAAUGUCAUUUAAACUAGAUACACUGAUAUAAAAUCAAUAUUACAAGACUGUUGAGAUGAUUGUGUGAUUAAGUCAUUUUUGAUGCAAUCAGAAUCUCGACAUUGUAUUAAAUGCUUCAUUGAUUUUGCAGAUUUCUUCUCUGAUUGCCUCAUUUAUAGCAUCUGCCCAGUACCCAACCAUUUAACCUUCUCCCUCGUUGCUUCCCGCAGCAUCUUGAGCAACAAAAUACAUUAACAAGAAUGAAAUAAAUGAAAAAACAAAUGAAAUGAGUGAAUCUACCCAUUAUAUUUUAACAGUGGCCUCGCAGAAAACUUUUCCUAUCAUUUCUUUCUUGUACUCCACAAUUAUCUUUCAUUUAAUUUUCUUUAGAAUAAAACAGAUAUUUUCUCCAGAUGAUGGCAAACAAAGGUAACAGGGAGUGAUUUUAAAGUGUUUAUUAAAAAUUGAUUGUUUCUUUUGUCGUAACGUUAAAGGCUGCAGACACUAUGUCUUGGCCAUGAGUUAGACAGAAGGACAGCCGACUUCUUUAGUGGUAUAGCUUGGAGCAUAUUUAUCAAACAUUUGCACUACAAUACGAAAAAAACAGUCUUUCCUCACAAAUGUUCUAUCGCCUCUUUUGUCCCUUGUCUCCAUAGAACACUUUCCUCUAUGCUAACUAGCUGGGAUAACAGUCAGUUUUCCAGGCAUUGGCUGGUUCUUUUGCCGGUGUGCUGCCAAACCGCAGUAAGCUGGUGUUAUCUGUGUGAGAGGCUAAACACGGCACUUACUAUCCACUCAGGUUGCCAGUCAGACUGCCUGUCUUUCUUAGAACUGGCCAGACCUGAUUUCCAGCUAACUGUCUAGCUAGCUUAUGUUCCAACCAGCCGCCUGGAUUGCAGGGCAGGACUGGUGUCUUGGAAGUGGCCGGACGUUAUUUUUAUGUUGGCUCCUCGGAGGCUAGAGAAUAUUGAUCCGUUCCAAUUUUCGGGUUUAAGAAAUGUUUUAAUAGGCAAAGUGAUGCUGAGAUGUAGGUCAUGAGGGUGAGUCAGGGGACUAAGAUAGGAGGGUGAGUGAGGGUACUAAGAGAGGAGGGUGAGUCAGGGUACUAAGAUAGGAGGGUGAGUCAGGGUACUAAGAUUAGAGGGCAAGUCAGGAUACUAAGAUUAGAGGACGAGUCAGGGUACUAAAAUAGGAGGGUGAGCCAGGAUACUAAGAGAGGAAGGGUGAGUCAGGGUACUAAGACUAGAGGGUGAGUCAGGGUACUAAGAUAGGAGGGUGAGUCAGGGGACUAAAAUAGGAGGGUGAGUCAGGGUACUAAAAUAGGAGGGUGAGUCAGGGUACUAAAAUUAGAGGGUGAGUCAGAGGACUAAGAUAGGAGGGUGAGUCAGGGUACUAAGAUUAGAGGGUGAGUCAGGGUACUAAAAUAGGAGGGUGAGUCAGGGGACUAAAAUAGAAGGGUGAGUCAGGGGACUAAGAUUGGAGGGUGAGUCAGGGGACUAAGAUAGGAGGGUGAGUCUGGGUUCUAAGAUAAGAGGGUGAGUCAGGGGACUAAGAUAGGAGGGUGAGUCAGGGGACUAAGAUGGGAAGGUGAGUCAGGAUACUAAGAUAGGAGGGUGAGUCAGGAUACUAAGAUAGGAGGGUGAGUCAGAGGACUAAGAUAGGAGGGUGAGUCAGGGUUAUAAGAUAAGAGGGUGAGUCAGGGGACUAAGAUAGGAGGGUGAGUCAGGGUUCUAAGAUAAGAGGGUGAGUAAGGGGACUAAGAUUAGAGGGUGAGUCAGGGGACUAAGAUAGGAAGGUGAGUCAGGAUACUAAGAUAGGAGGGUGAGUCAGGGUUCUAAGAUGGGAGGGUGAGUCAGGGGACUAAGAUGGGAGGGUGAGUCAGGGGACUAAGAUAAGAGGGUGAGUCAGGAUAUUAAGAUAGGAGGGUGAGUCAGGGUUAUAAGAUAAGAGGGUGAGUCAGGGGACUAAGAUAGGAGGGUGAGUCAGGGUUCUAAGAUGGGAGGGUGAGUCAGGGUUCUAAGAUAAGAGGGUGAGUCAGGGUUCUAAGAUGGGAGAUGGUUUAGAUCAAUGAUUCUCAGAGAUCUUACUUUGCAUACCACCUCACUGAAUAAAUAUCAACUAAAGGGAGCACCGCGUACCACCAGGGGUACACGUACCAUAGUUUGAGAACCAGUGGUUUAGAUGACAAGUAUGGACAUUAGGUGACAUUAGGUGACAUUAGGUGACAUUAGGUGACAUUAGGGGAGGUGCUUGGGGGAGGACAGGAAGCCUGUCUAGGAGCCCUGAUGGUCAAUGACAUUUUCUGUACGGUACUUUCGCCCUGCAUCGCAAAUCCACUGGCGCUUAUCGUAAUGACGGACUGCCAGCCGGCCAGACCAGCGCCUGUCUGUCAAUCACAGGUCUCCAUGGUGAUCCAGGGACAUUCCUCCAUGACACUCAUCAUACUGGAUACUCUGGAGAGAGAGAGAAACAGAUGAGAUGGACUCAGCGAGACAGACAUCUAAAGGUCAGCAGUCAGUCAGUACAGAAGUCACAGCUAUAUUCAUCUUCCCCGGUUUCUUCUGAUCUAGAGAUAGAGUGCACAGAGAGGCAGGCUGUGGGUUGGGAAGGACUGGCCCAGGAUGGAGCUCAGAGAGGCAGGCUGUGGGUUGGGAAGGACUGGCCCAGGAUGGAGCUCAGAGAGGCAGGCUGUGGGUUGGGAAGGACUGGCCCAGGAUGGAGCUCAGAGAGGCAGGCUGUGGGUUGGGAAGGACUGGCCCAGGAUGGAGCUCAGAGAAGCAGGCUGUGGGUUGGGAAGGACUGGCCCAGGAUGGAACUCAGAGAAGCAGGCUGUGGGUUGGGAAGGACUGGCCCAAGAUCACACGCCAUCUGGUCUCCAACCAGAUGAUAGAUACUCUGGACUUAUUUACUGCUUAUUUACAACUCAUGUACAGUCAUUCUUCCUACCAUGCUUAAAGUGAACACACACACAUGUACACACACACACACAAACGCACACACACACCACUGCCACGAUGAUGUGGAUUUGGGCAAAUAUGUGAAUUUCCCAAUCACUUGAGAGGUUAUCAGCAUAUUAACACAUGAACAGGAUUAAUCCCAUUUCACCUUCCUCUGCUAAAUAGUCUCAAAAGCUGACAACCAUCUAUUGGCCUCGAAAACAAAUAGAGUGGCGUUAUCAUAAUCAUUAAAGGCUACUUAUCCCAGCCGGCUGAGAAGACAUCCUUCACAGGGCACAAUCUCACGUCAUCUAAAUGACCCAGGAUUGUUGAUCACUUGACCUCACAAAGGUCAGAGGUCAUGGGGUCAAACAGCUAUCAGUGAGGUGCAGGGUUGCAG
ensembl:lncRNA